rnacentral:rRNA from 1 species
CCUACGGGAGGCAGCAGUGAGGAAUAUUGGUCAAUGGACGCAAGUCUGAACCAGCCAAGCCGCGUGCAGGAAGACGGCCCUAUGAGUUGUAAACUGCUUUUGUACGAGGGUAAACGCAGAUACGCGUACCUGUCUGAAAGUAUCCUACGAAUAAGGAUCGGCUAACUCCGUGCCAGCAGCCGCGGUAAUACGGAGGAUUCAAGCGUUAUCCGGAUUUAUUGGGUUUAAAGGGUGCGUAGGCGGUAGGAUAAGUUAGAGGUGAAAUUCAGAGGCUCAACUUCGGAAUUGCCUCUGAUACUGGGAGGCUUGAGAGGAGUUGAGGUAGGCGGAAUGUAUGGUGUAGCGGUGAAAUGCUUAGAGAUCACACAGAACACCGAGUGCGAAGGCAGCUUACCAAGCUACUACUGACGUUGAGGCACGAAAGCGUGGGGAGCAAACAGGAUUAGAUACCCGGGUAGUC